rnacentral:rRNA from 1 species
GACGAACGCUGGCGGCGUGCUUAACACAUGCAAGUCGAACGGUGAAGGGACCGGUUUUUGCUGGUUCUGGAUGAGUGGCGAACGGGUGAGUAACACGUGAGUAACCUGCCCCCUUCUUCUGGAUAACCGCAUGAAAGUGUGGCUAAUACGGGAUAUUCUGCGCCUGCUGCAUGGUGGGUGUGGGAAAGAUAUUGUUUCGGUGGGGGAUGGGCUCGCGGCCUAUCAGCUUGUUGGUGGGGUGAUGGCCUACCAAGGCGGUGACGGGUAGCCGGCCUGAGAGGGUGGACGGUCACACUGGGACUGAGACACGGCCAAGACUCCGACGGGAGGCAGCAGUGGGGAAUAUUGCACAAUGGGCGGAAGCCUGAUGCAGCGACGCCGCGUGAGGGAUGGAGGCCUGCGGGUUGUAAACCUCUUUCGCCAGUGAAGCAGGCCUGUCCCUUUUGUGGGUGGGUUGACGGUAGCUGGAGAAGAAGCGCCGGCUAACUACGUG